rnacentral:rRNA from 1 species
UACGUAGGGUGCAAGCGUUAAUCGGAAUUACUGGGCGUAAAGCGUGCGCAGGCGGUUUUGUAAGUUUGUCGUGAAAUCCCCGGGCUCAACCUGGGAAUGGCGAUGAAGACUGCAAGGCUAGAAUCUGGCAGAGGGGGGUAGAAUUCCACGUGUAGCAGUGAAAUGCGUAGAGAUGUGGAGGAAUACCGAUGGCGAAGGCAGCCCCCUGGGAUGAUACUGACGCUCAUGCACGAAAGCGUGGGGAGCAAACAGG